rnacentral:rRNA from 1 species
AGAGUUUGAUCAUGGCUCAGGACGAACGCUGGCGGCGUGCCUAACACAUGCAAGUCGAACGGACAUCACAAUAAGCUUGCUUAGAGUGAUGUUAGUGGCGGACGGGUGAGUAACGCGUGAGCAACCUGCCUUUCAGAGGGGGACAACAUUGGGAAACCGAUGCUAAUACCGCAUGACAUAGAAGUGGGACAUCCCAUUUCUAUCAAAGGAGCAAUCCGCUGAAAGAUGGGCUCGCGUCCGAUUAGAUAGUUGGUGGGGUAACGGCCUACCAAGUCGACGAUCGGUAGCCGGACUGAGAGGUUGAACGGCCACAUUGGGACUGAGACACGGCCCAGACUCCUACGGGAGGCAGCAGUGGGGGAUAUUGCACAAUGGGCGAAAGCCCGAUGCAGCAACGCCGCGUGAGGGAAGAAGGUUUUCGGAUUGUAAACCUCUGUUUUCGGUGAAGAAAAAAAUGACGGUAGCCGAAGAGGAAGC